rnacentral:rRNA from 1 species
UAACACGGAGGGUGCAAGCGUUGUUCGGAAUUACUGGGCGUAAAGGGCGUGUAGGCGGUUAGGCAAGUCAGGUGUGAAAUCCCUUGGCUCAACCAAGGAAGUGCGCUUGAAACUGCUUAACUAGAGUACAGUAGGGGAAAGUGGAAUUCCCAGUGUAGAGGUGAAAUUCAUAGAUAUUGGGAGGAACACCAGUAGCGAAGGCGGCUUUCUGGCCUGAUACUGACGCUGAGACGCGAAAGCGUGGGGAGCAAACAGGAUUAGAUACCCUGGUAGUCCACGCUGUAAACGAUGUGCACUAGGUGUAGGAAGUGUUGACCCUUUCUGUGCCGAAGCUAACGCAUUAAGUGCACCGCCUGGGGAGUACGGUCGCAAGGCUA